CUUGUCUCUCAAGGUGAAGUGCUUGGCAUAGAGCUUGUACUGGUCGUUGUUGGGCGGCCGAUUCCUGUUCACCGGCAGCGUGGAGUCCCCCUUGCGGAAGCUUUCACUGUGGGCCUGACUGUGACAAUAAGGAGAAUAGAAGGAAAAAAGACUGUCUAAACCAGAGAAGGGGGGAAAAAACUUUUUUGAAAAUGAGAACUUACAAAGCCUUCAAGAAUAAAGAGUCUACCUUCCUAUCUGCUGUGUUCCCUAUUGUGGGUGCUGUGAGGCUGACACUUAGAAGUUCAACACCACCUACUCCUCGGGCCUUCACAAUCACCAAGGUCUCUGCACAACCCCAAUUAGGAGCCCUGAGAGAAGGAGAUGAAUAAAAUAAAGGGAAAAAUCUGACAUCAUCGACUCCAGCAGAGUGAUCUGUUAGCCGCUGACAUCCGCGCCUAGCGUUUGUCUAUCAGAGAAUAACAUGUUUCUAAAUGCGAAAUACUGUUUGCUAAAGCAUGAUUUUUAAAAUCUCCUUGUUGAAAAUGUCCUGGGAGGAAGAAUGAAAUGUAGGUACCUGUGUUUUCAGCAGACUCCCCAAAUGAUCCUACCGGACAGAAAAUGUCAAAAGGAGGUUCCUACAUAAGGACAACAGACCAGGGGUCCAGGAGUGCAUAUCCAUUGUCAUUUCCCACUGCCCAGAGGUCAGAAGAGGCUCGGCUGUUCAUUGUGGAAUGAAUGAUCAGAAAGAAGAACAAAUCUGGGACCAAACGGGUGAGUGAGAUCGAGGGCCCCUGUGUCCACAGCGCCCAGUCCUGGCUAACUUGAUCAGAAAGUUCUUGAUCUACAGGGUAGCCUAGUGCAGCCCUAACUGUGACUGCUGCCUCUGAAGCCUCCAUUUGAUGAAAACACGGUUAGCAAGCAACAGUAACUUUCUGAAACGCCAGGGCUGAUGCGGCUCCAAGGAGCUCUGUGGGGAACAAGCACUUCCCGCGAGCGAGAUGGGUGUUUGUGGACCUGCCGAGGCUGCUCCGCAGGGCAGUGCGGAGAAGAUGGCCUGUGAGGGCAGUGCUGCCCUCAGACUGGGGGCAUGUGUGGUCCUCAGGGCCAAACGGCUUGCUUCUCUGAAUUACAUCCUGUCCCUGUUUCAUUCCUUCUCAGGCCUGAGUUUUCCCCCCAAACUGCCAGGGUUGAAUGAUCUCAAAAAUGAGGCUGAGUAUGUUCCCAUGGUGCCGGGGCCUGAGGCAUGGACAAGUCUCCUCCACCACGGAGAAAUGGAGCAAAGGGGAGGUCACUUUUCCGUCUUCGACCUCUGUCACUGAGGUAUUUUUUCCCCAAUAUUAUUUGCAGAGGGACGACGCUGCUCCCUGUGUACAGAGGAGGAACACUGAAUCCCGGAUGCGAGCCAUCUAUGUUUGAACCCCAGCUCUGCCUGUUUCCAGAUGGGAAUACUGGCCUUAUAGGCUUCUGUGAGGGUCCUAGCAGCUGACUGGAGCAACACCACACAACAGCUAAAGCAAAGUCCUGGAAGCCCUCUUACAGAGGUCCUGAUCUGCCACUCAGUGGCUGAGUGAUCGUCUGCACCUUAUUUAACCUGAGAAUCAGUUUUCUCACCCGUAAUAGGAAUUAAUAAUCCUAACUCAUACAGUCUGUCACUGUGAGGACGAAAUGAAAUGAAUCCUAUAAAGAGAGAUGACUUUAGGACAUAUCCUUACCCCCUGGAAGUAUAUACUUAUUCCUACAGAUGUUGAUACAAUAGUAACAGUAGCCAGGGAGCUCUGCUUCCCCUCAGUGACUGGAAAACUGCUCCACCCUCUCCAAGGGGGUUCUCAGCGCCACCUCAUCCCUAACCACACCCUUCCCACCCCUAAUCCUAAUCUUGAGUUUAUCUCUUUAAAUGGGUUGAGGCUGCCGGUUGCAAGAAGGUGUCACUGAGUCACCCGAGGAUGGCCCACGCCAGGGAGACUGGGCAGCAGGUGAGCCAGCCGGAGACAGAUCAGGCAUCUCCAAGGCACCGUGGUCCAUGCCUCAGACCACCCUGCAGCCAAGAUGGGGCAGUGGACAGCUCUGUGACC